AGCAGCGAGUGGCUAAUAUAUUAUCAGGCAAUUACUGCCAACCUAAGUGCGCAGAGCCAUGUGUGGAGGUAAAGUUUGAGGACGAAAAACAAGGAAAAAUUCAGGUGGUGGCUUCACCUUGGAUACGCCUUACUAAUAAACACGAUGCAACAAUCGAAGAGAUAGGUACCCCAGAGAAAGUCAUUGCUUCUCUUGGCCCUUUUGUCACCGGAAAUUCAUAUGAUCCGGAUGAACUACUCGAGACUUUUGUCGAGAAAAUCGGUAACCAAACUGUAUGAACCAAACUGUAUGAUCUUGUUUUCUCGUAUAGUGGAUUCAUGAUAGAGUGAUUUUGCCAUUAGUUGUUCUUACUCAUUUUCAGUUUCCAUGUUUAUGACUGAUCUUUUGGAAACUUAAUCGCGCAGUACUAUAAAUAUGUUCUGGGGGAGACUCCAUUUGCUCUCACGGGAUCACACAAUCUUGCUAAGGCGACAGCGAAAGGAAGCACGGUCGUCCUUUUUG
rnacentral:sRNA from 1 species